rnacentral:rRNA from 1 species
AACGUGCCGGUGACAAACCGGAGGAAGGUGGGGAUGACGUCAAGUCAUCAUGGCCCUUAUGUCCAGGGCUACACACGUGCUACAAUGGACGGUACAGAACGAUGCGAAACCGCGAAGGCGAAGCAAAUCGGCGAAAACCGUUCGUAGUUCGGAUUGGAGUCUGAAACCCGACUCCAUGAAGUUGGAAUCGCUAGUAAUCGCGCAUCAGCACGGCGCGGUGAAUACGUUCCCGGGUCUU